rnacentral:miRNA from 1 species
AAGAGAGCUCAUCAUGAACAGU